rnacentral:rRNA from 1 species
AAUAGAUACCCGGGUAGUCCACGCCGUAAACGGUCGGGUACUAGGUGUGGGUUCUUUCCUAAGGAUCCGUGCCGGUAGCUAACGCAUUAAGUACCCCGCCUGGGGAGUACGGCCGCAAGGCUAAAACUCAAAGGAAUUGACAGGGGCCCGCACAAGCGGCGGAGCAUGUGGAUUAAUUCGAUGCAACGCGAAGAACCUUACCUGGGUUUGACAUGCACAGGACGCGUCUAGAGAUAGGCGUUCCCUUUGGGCCUGUGUGCAGGUGGUGCAUGGCUGUCGUCAGCUCGUGUCGUGAGAUGUUGGGUUAAGUCCCGCAACGAGCGCAACCCUUGUCCCAUGUUGCCAGCGGGUGAUGCCGGGGACUCAUGGGAGACUGCCGGGGUCAACUCGGAGGAAGGUGGGGAUGACGUCAAGUCAUCAUGCCCCUUAUGUCCAGGGCUUCACACAUGCUACAAUGGCCGGUACAAAGGACUGCGAAGCCGUGAGGUGGAGCGAAUCCCUGCAAAGCCGGUCUCAGUUCGGAUCGGGGUCUGCAACG